rnacentral:rRNA from 1 species
AGUCGAGCGCACCUUCGGGUGAGCGGCGGACGGGUUAGUAACGCGUGGGAACGUGCCCAGAUCUAAGGAAUAGCCACUGGAAACGGUGAGUAAUACCUUAUACGCCCUUCGGGGGAAAGAUUUAUCGGAUUUGGAUCGGCCCGCGUUAGAUUAGGUAGUUGGUGGGGUAAUGGCCUACCAAGCCUACGAUCUAUAGCUGGUUUUAGAGGAUGAUCAGCAACACUGGGACUGAGACACGGCCCAGACUCCUACGGGAGGCAGCAGUGGGGAAUCUUAGACAAUGGGGGAAACCCUGAUCUAGCCAUGCCGCGUGAGUGACGAAGGCCUUAGGGUCGUAAAGCUCUUUCGCCAUGGAUGAUAAUGACAGUACCUGGUAAAGAAACCCCGGCUAACUCCGUGCCAGCAGCCGCGGUAAUACGGAGGGGGUUAGCGUUGUUCGGAAUUACUGGGCGUAAAGCGCGCGUAGGCGGAUUGGAAAGUUGGGGGUGAAAUCCCAGGGCUCAACCCUGGAACUGCCUCCAAAACUCCCAGUCUAGAGUUCGAGAGAGGUGAGUGGAACUCCGAGUGUAGAGGUGAAAUUCGUAGAUAUUCGGAAGAACACCAGUGGCGAAGGCGGCUCACUGGCUCGAUACUGACGCUGAGGUGCGAAAGUGUGGGGAGNCAACAGGAUUAGAUACCCUGGUAGUCCACACCGUAAACGAUGAAUGCCAGUCGUCGGCAAGUAUACUUGUCGGUGACACACCUAACGGAUUAAGCAUUC